rnacentral:tRNA from 1 species
CUCUGGUUAGCUCAGCUGGUAGAGCGCUCCACCUGUAAUGGAGAGGUCCCGGGUUCGAUACCCGGACCAGGCG